rnacentral:rRNA from 1 species
CCUACGGGAGGCAGCAGUGGGGAAUAUUGCGCAAUGGGCGAAAGCCUGACGCAGCGACGCCGCGUGAGGGAUGAAGGUCUUCGGAUCGUAAACCUCUGUCAGCAGGGAAGAACGGUCACUGUGCUAAUCAGCAGUGAAUUGACGGUACCUGCAAAGGAAGCACCGGCUAACUCCGUGCCAGCAGCCGCGGUAAUACGGAGGGUGCGAGCGUUAAUCGGAAUUACUGGGCGUAAAGCGCUCGUAGGCGGUAUGUCAAGUCAAGGGUGAAAUCCCCGCGCUCAACGUGGGAACUGCAUUUGAAACUGGCAAACUGGAGUGUGUGAGAGGAUAGUGGAAUUCCAGGUGUAGGAGUGAAAGCCGUAGAUAUCUGGAGGAACAUCAGUGGCGAAGGCGACUAUCUGGCACAUAACUGACGCUGAGGAGCGAAAGCGUGGGUAGCAAACAGGAUUAGAUACCCUAGUAGUC